rnacentral:rRNA from 1 species
AUUGAACGCUGGCGGCAGGCUUAACACAUGCAAGUCGAGCGAGCGGCGGACGGGUGAGUAAUGUCUGGGAAACUGCCUGAUGGAGGGGGAUAACUACUGGAAACGGUAGCUAAUACCGCAUACCAUCAGAUGUGCCCAGAUGGGUUUAGCUAGUUGGUGUGGUAAUGGCUCACCUAGGCGAUGAUCCCUAGCUGGUCUGAGAGGAUGACCAGCAACAAGGGAACGGAGCCACGGUCAAGACUGCAACGGGAGGCAGCAGUGGGGAAUAUUGCACAAUGGGCGAAAGCCUGAUGAAGCCAGGCCGCGUGUGUGAAGAAGGCCUUCGGGUUGUAAAGCACUUUCAGCGAGGAGGCGUUACUCGCAGAAGAAGCACCGGCUAACUCCGUGCCAGCAGCCGCGGUAAUAC